AACGGGGGGGGGCAAGUGUUACUCAUCAUAACUGGGCGUAAAGGGCGAGUAGGUGGUUACCAUAGGUCAAAGAUUAACAUGCCAGGUUAUACUGCGUAAGUCUUUGAUACCGGUAGGAGCUAAUGGCCAUGUUUAAAAAAUUUUAAACAUUUCUGGAGUAUGAGAGGGGAUAGCGGAACUUCUGAUGAAGGGGGUAAAAUCCUUUGACAUCAGCGAGGACCACCAUUUGGCGAAGGCGGCUAUCUGGUUCAUACUGACACUUGAGCUGCGAAAAGCGUGGGGGAGCAAACAGG
rnacentral:rRNA from 1 species